AGUCCAGACUCCUACGGGAGGCAGCAGUGAGGAAUAUUGGUCAAUGGGCGCAAGCCUGAACCAGCCAAGUCGCGUGAGGGAAGACGGUCCUAUGGAUUGUAAACCUCUUUUGUCGGGGAGCAAAGCGCGGUACGAGUGCCGUGAAGGAGAGUACCCGAAGAAAAAGCAUCGGCUAACUCCGUGCCAGCAGCCGCGGUAAUACGGAGGAUGCGAGCGUUAUCCGGAUUUAUUGGGUUUAAAGGGUGCGUAGGCGGAUUUGUAAGUCAGCGGUAAAAAUGCGGUGCUCAACGCCGUAUCGCCGUUGAAACUGCGGGUCUUGAGUGAGCGAGAAGUAUGCGGAAUGCGUGGUGUAGCGGUGAAAUGCAUAGAUAUCGCGCAGAACUCCGAUUGCGAAGGCAGCAUGCCGGCUCCACACUGACGCUGAGGCACGAAAGCGUGGGUAUCGAACAGGAUUAGAUACCCCAGUAAC
rnacentral:rRNA from 1 species